rfam:Cavia porcellus supercont2_4 genomic scaffold, whole genome shotgun sequence.
GGGGAUUUAGUUGAGCGGCGUAAGCACCUGCCUUGCAAGCAGGUGGUCGAGUUCGAUCCCUG